UUUUGUGAGCGGUAAGUCCUAUCUGGGUGCCUGCGGUGUUCCCCUCCAUGGAGGGCAUGAGCCGCGGGGUCACGAACCCGGAGGGCACGCUCGUCAA
rnacentral:ncRNA from 1 species